UGGGGAAUUUUGCACAAUGGAGGAAACUCUGAUGCAGCGACGCCGCGUGAGUGAUGAAGAUCUUCGGAUGGUAAAACUCUGUCCUUAGUGAAGAUAAUGACAGUAACUAAGAAGCAAGCCCUGGCUAAAUACGUGCCAGCAGCCGCGGUAAUACGUAUGGGGCAAGCGUUGUCCGGAAUUAUUGGGCGUAAAGGGUACGUAGGCGGUUUAAUAAGUCCUAAUUAAAAGGCUAUGGCUCAACCAUAGUAUGGUUAGGAAACUGUUGAACUUGAGUAGAUGAGGGGAAAGUGGAAUUCCAUGUGUAGCGGUGAAAUGCGUAGAUAUAUGGAGGAACACCAAUGGCGAAGGCAACUUUCUGGAAUCAAACUGACGCUGAGGUACGAAGGCGUGGGGAGCAAACAGG
rnacentral:rRNA from 1 species